rnacentral:rRNA from 1 species
UACGUAGGGACCGAGCGUUGUCCGGAAUUAUUGGGCGUAAAGCGCACGUAGGCGGCAUCGCAAGUCGGAUGUGAAAUCUUAUGGCUUAACCAUAAAAGUGCAUCCGAAACUGCAGUGCUUGAGUACUUAAGAGGAUCGCGGAAUUCCCGGUGUAGAGGUGAAAUUCGUAGAUAUCGGGAGGAACACCAGUGGCGAAGGCGGCGAUCUGGGAAGAUACUGACGCUGAGGUGCGAAAGCGUGGGGAGCAAACAGG